UACGUAGGGGGCGAGCGUUGUCCGGAUUUAUUGGGCGUAAAGAGCGUGUAGGCGGUUCGGUAAGUCUGUCGUGAAAUCCUGAGGCUCAACCUCGGGCGUGCGAUGGAUACUGCCGGGCUAGAGGGUGGUAGAGGCGAGUGGAAUUCCCGGUGUAGCGGUGAAAUGCGCAGAUAUCGGGAGGAACACCAGUAGCGAAGGCGGCUCGCUGGGCCACACCUGACGCUGAGGAGCGAAAGCGUGGGGAGCGAACAGG
rnacentral:rRNA from 1 species